rnacentral:sRNA from 1 species
UUGUUUCCCCGCGUUAGGGAUAGCAGCGAAAAGCCCACAGCGAUGCGCGAGGACUUGUAGCGGAUAGCCCGGUCCGCC